GAUGAACGCUAGCGGCAGGCCUAACACAUGCAAGUCGAGGGGUAGAGUUCUUCGGAACUUGAGACCGGCGCACGGGUGCGUAACGCGUAUGCAAUCUACCUUAUACAGGGGAAUAGCCCAGAGAAAUUUGGAUUAAUGCCCCAUAGCAUUACGACUUGGCAUCAAGAUGUAAUUAAAGUUACAACGGUAUAAGAUGAGCAUGCGUCCCAUUAGUUAGUUGGUAAGGUAACGGCUUACCAAGACGAUGAUGGGUAGGGGUCCUGAGAGGGAGAUCCCCCACACUGGUACUGAGACACGGACCAGACUCCUACGGGAGGCAGCAGUGAGGAAUAUUGGUCAAUGGUCGCAAGACUGAACCAGCCAUGCCGCGUGCAGGAAGACGGUCCUAUGGAUUGUAAACUGCUUUUAUACAGGAAGAAACCCUCCCACGUGUGGGAGCUUGACGGUACUGUAGGAAUAAGGAUCGGCUAACUCCGUGCCAGCCGCCGCAGUAAGAC
rnacentral:rRNA from 1 species